AGUCUAAAAGUUAUAAUUUUAAUCUUAUUCAUCAUAAUUGUGUCAUUAUUUAAUGAAUUUUAUUUAUUGGUACAACAAAAAGAUUGAAACACAGACUAUUGGCACGCAAAACAGAAUGAAACUUUUGUAUUACAAACAGAUCAAUUAAAGGAUGGUAUUAUGACCCUAAAAGAAGCUAAACAUCUAAGCAUUAAUGUUGCCUUAUCUUAACGAGCAGAGAUUGAAAAUGAGUUAAAUGCGUUAAACAUUUAAUAUAAAAAAUACUGAUUGACCAAUAGUAAUAUGCAAAAUCUAAAUGAUCAAAUAUUUCUACAACUUUAUGAUUGUUGAUAAACAUAUUCAAAAAAAUAUAAAGCAAUAUGAUUCAUUAUAAAAAAUGAAUAAGAAUAAUCAAGAAAUAGCUACAAAAAAAUAUGGAGUUUAUUUAAUAAGACAGUGAUGGUGCUAUUUAUGGUGUGUGGAUUCUUUUGUGUAGUACUUAGUCAUUACAUAAUCAUCACAUUGUUAUCUGGCAAAAAGUCUCUUGCAUUAUUUAAAGUUAUCACAUGCCAAUAUUCCACUUUUACACGUAUUAAAAACUGUAAGUAUGUGUAUACAUAGUGUCUAUGUUUAUAUUUUUAAAAUUUAGUUUUAUAUACAGUUAUUUUAUCUCAUAUUUGUAUAAAGCUUAUGCAGGUAAUAUAAUAUAAUUAUUUUGAUUUAAAUAUAUAUAGUAUUUUGUUUAUUUCGUUCAUAUAGCACUUGUAUACGUUGUGUAUUUAUUAAAAAAAAAACAUUUAUGUAGACUAGACCUUCCUGUUUAGCCCAUUCCAUAUAAUUAAUUUUGAUAUCAGUUUUCUUUUUUAUACAAACCAAUUAGAAAUGUGUUUACACAGUUAUUGGGAGUGUGCAAACAAUUUUUUCAAAAGAAAAUCACUUUUUAUAAUCUUUUAAAACUUUAUAGUAUUAAAGUAAUGCUUAAAAAUUAGUAAUAUGUAAAAUUACUUAUUAUUAAAAUUUGUAUAUUAUAAUUUUGUUUAUAUGUUUAUAUUAUUUGUUAUGUUAUUUUGUGCGUUGUUUAUAAUGACAUGUACUUUUGUGUAUUGUUUAUGUUGACGUGUAUUUUUUUUUUUUUUUUUUUUUUUUUUUUGUAGCUUUAUGUAAAAUCAAGAUCAUAAUUAUUUAAAUUUAUUUAAAAUUUAUUUAAAUACUCAUUUUCUUAUAAUAAUUUGCAAUAGAUCAAUAAUUUAAUAUGUUUAUUAUAUAAAAUUAUUAUUUUUAAUAUAUUAUAGCAAAAUUUAUUAGAAAAAAAAAACUUAUUACUAUUUAAAACGAAUUCGAUAUUCAAGCACUUGUUAUAUUCGGGUCAUUUUUUGAUAAUAAAAACUUGGAUUUGCACCUGUUACAUACGUAACUUAAUAAUUUUCUAAAACCUUAUAAAUCUUAGCAAGUGGGAGAAAAUUUAUCACAAAUUAACUCCGUGUAUCUAUUUAACAAUACUAGAAAAUUCCUUUCUAUCUAUGUGACUAUGUGAUUGAUGUGUCUAUCUAUCUAUGUGACAUGUGUAUCUUUGUAACAAUACUGAAAACUGAGUGCUAAAAACUGAUACAUAAUACUAGACAUUAAUAUGAAGUACUGAAUGUAUCUUAGUAUCAGAUUUACUAGUUCUCCAAUUUUUUCUUAAAAUGCACAACAAAAAACCUUUUUUAUGGUUUGCGGCGAUUAACCUGAUAAUACCAUAUAAAGGUUCUUGUGGAACAACACAAUGAAAAAUGCUUUAAGAAAUUUUUAUAAAAGAUACUUUUGUGCACACCCAGAGUGGAGACCUCAAAUAAUCCCAGUUUAGAAUAUUGCUUGUGAAUCUUCUUAAAACGAUUACUAUGAAUAUAAAAAUGGAUUUAUGAAACACUUGAUUGACUAUAGACUAUAUGCCCAUUGAUUUAGACAAAUAAAAUUUCAGAUUUUUGCAUCUUAUCACAAAAAUUUAAAGGACUUAAAACAUGGUAUACAUUUAGUAAACUAAGCGCAAUAAACCCAACCUAUUUAUAAUAUAAUAAACCCAACCAUUUGUUAACUACAUGCACAGCAACAAACAAAAACACCCUUAAAAAUAACCAACUGAACAAAAAAAGCUUAAUUCAAAUUAGUUAAAAGUACAAUUCAAAUUUUAGUUAAAAUACAAAAGUACCAUUAGUGUGGACCCUAAAAAUAAAUAUUGGUAUUGCCUUACAGCUAAUAUAACAUGGGAAAUAGGAUUGUUAAACAUUACCAUCGGAUGUAACAUAAUCAUAUUCUAGAUUUCUACAUUUAAACAUUUUAGGGUUGAUGAAUUUCUAUUUUUGUCCAAAAACGCAAAAAAUGAUUUAAAAUGAAGAAUAAAAACCCGCUCAUGAAAAUUAAUAAGCAUAUAUAUAAAAUUAAUAGUAUACAUAUAUAAUAGUAUACACAUAUAUAUAAAAUUAAUAGUAUACGUAUAUGCAUAUAUAUAAAAUUAAUAGUAUACAUGUGUAUAUAGUUGUUAUUUUUUUAGAAAAGGAUGUACUACAAUAAUUUGUUUGGGGACGACGUUUUGCUUUAAAUUGAUAAAGUUAUUUAAUUUUAGUUUCAGUUUUGUUUAAAUACAAGUAAACUGAAAUAUUUUUUUCGUAAUAACAUAAAAAUAGGUUCUGCAAUUAUUCAUUUGUUAUGUGAAUAAGUUUUUUUUUUUUUGUAGUUUAAUAGGGUGGGUGUUGUUUUCUAAGUGGCGAUUUUUUAAAUUUCCCCGUGUUGAGAUAUUUUUGAGUGCAAUCAAAACUUGAAAAGCAUUCUAAAGUGGGUUUUGUUGUUGACGUUGUUGUUGCUAACCAAUUAGUAAUUUAAUUUCAACAGUUUGUCAAUAAAAUUAUCAAUGAAAGUAUUUAUGAUUGGUAUUUGACAUUAAAAGAUACAUCUUAUCAUGCAAUAUAUUGUAGAUGUUACGUGGAUAUCAAUGUUAAACUGUUUUGCUGCAAGAAAGCUUUGGCCAAAAAGAUAAUUAGAUUAGUUGACACCAUCAGAAAAAUAAAGAAACAACAAAAAUAUUAUUAUUAAAGUUGUUAGGUGUAGCCUUUUUUCCACAUGUUUCAAAUUUCCUCAUAAUACAGUGAAUGCAUUUGAAAUUCCUAAAAAAACAAUACUAAUAAGCAAAAACAAAAUGCUUAAAAAAGUAAAUAAAAUUUCAAAGGAAAAUGGAAUCUAUGUUGGAUUUAAAAAUGGAAUUUUUUUACACAUCUAAUAGAUUUUAAAGAUAUGCGAUAUUGAAGGUAUGCAAUAUAAAAGAGCUAUUAAAGGCAAAAGUGCCCCUUUUUCAACUAAAUUUAUAUCGCAUAAUCUUAGGUGUCGAAUAUGGAAAAAACCUUUUUUGUAAAACAAAGGUAGCAGGAAGCAAAAGAAUAAUUAUCUUGGGAACCUGAUGAAGUCAGGUCAUUUCCUUUACGGUCAUUUCCUUUAUUAAUUGAUUUUGAAAAAGAUGAUCUUAUUCUUUUUAGCUAGAAUUGCGCAAUAAUUUUAUUUAAUAAAAAUUUAUAAUUAUGUUGUAUGUAUUUAUGUAUUUAUUAUGUAUUUAUUAUUAUUAAGUAUGUAUUUAUUUUAUUUAUUUUUUUAUU